UAGGGAAUCUUCCACAAUGGACGCAAGUCUGAUGGAGCAACGCCGCGUGAGUGAAGAAGGUCUUCGGAUCGUAAAGCUCUGUUGUUGGUGAAGAAGGAUAGAGGUAGUAACUGGCCUUUAUUUGACGGUAAUCAACCAGAAAGUCACGGCUAACUACGUG
rnacentral:rRNA from 1 species